rnacentral:rRNA from 1 species
AUUGAACGCUAGCGGCAGGCUUAACACAUGCAAGUCGAGCGGGGUGAUGGUGCUUGCACUAUCACUUAGCGGCGGACGGGUGAGUAAUGCUUAGGAAUCUGCCUAUUAGUGGGGGACAACAUCUCGAAAGGGAUGCUAAUACCGCAUACGUCCUACGGGAGAAAGCAGGGGGUCACUUGUGACCUUGCGCUAAUAGAUGAGCCUAAGUCGGAUUAGCUAGUUGGUGGGGUAAAGGCCUACCAAGGCGACGAUCUGUAGCGGGUCUGAGAGGAGGAUCCGCCACACUGGGACUGAGACACGGCCCAGACUCCUACGGGAGGCAGCAGUGGGGAAUAUUGGACAAUGGGGGGAACCCUGAUCCAGCCAUGCCGCGUGUGUGAAGAAGGCCUUAUGGUUGUAAAGCACUUUAAGCGAGGAGGAGGCUCUUUUGGUUAAUACCCAAGAUGAGUGGACGUUACUCGCAGAAUAAGCACCGGCUAACUCUGUGCCAGCAGCCGCGGUAA